GACGAACGCUGGCGGCGUGCCUAAUACAUGCAAGUAGAACGCACAGUUUAUACCUUAGCUUGCUACACCAUACACUGUGAGUUGCGAACGGGUGAGUAACCGUAGGUUACCUUCCUGGUUGCCGGGGGUAAACUUUGGAAACGAUAGGUAAUAACCCAUUAUUUUAAUUUUUGCAUUAUAAUUUAUUGGAAGAUGGAAUUGCAUUACUACCAGAUGGACCUGCGGUGGAUUUGGUAGUAGGUGAGGGAACGGCUCACCUAGGCGACGAUGCAUUACCGACCUGAGAGGGUGAGCGGCCACACUGGGACUGAGACACGGCCCAGACGCCUACGGGAGGCAGCAGGAGGGAAUCUUCGGCAAGGGACGAAAGUCUGACCGAGCAACGCCGCGUGAGUGAAGAAGGUUUUCGGAUCGGAAAGCUCUGUUGUAAGAGAAGAACGGGUGUGAGAGUGGAAAGUUCACACUGUGACGGUAUCUUACCAGAAAGGGACGGCUAACUACGUG
rnacentral:rRNA from 1 species